rnacentral:lncRNA from 1 species
GGACCUAGUCCUUGAAAUUUGACAUUAAUCGCACUGCCUUGUAUGUGAAAAUUAUCGCGCGAUCGCUUGCGAUCUUCAUCUUCUCUGUUCGUCCUUCCAGAAAAAGAAAUUCAGGUUGGGAGUAUUACACAGCUUUCUUUUGGUUAGCUCCUCUUUGUCCACCAUUUUUGCCCCCAAUAUGCAGAUCUUGUUCACGAAAGUUCUAACGAACACCGAUGUAGAGAAAAGAUUGGCGGUUCCCAACAAUUCACUGAAGCAUUUCGAGCUUGAAAAUGGUAAUUGCUCCAAAUCUUUUGAAGUUAAAGAUGAAAACGGAAGCACAUGGACUUUUCGUUGCUAUGUUCGUAACGACGGUGCCUACAAGAAGCCUGUUUUAUCCAGUGGUUGGCGUCAAUUUGUCCUCAAUAAAGGAGUUCACCAGGGAGAUUUGAUCACACUCUAUAAGGAUGUUGAAGAAGAAGCUUCGUAUAAGAUCGAAGUUCAGAGAAAAAUCAAGUUAUUAGGCAAGGAGUGCUGGUCUAGUCUGGAACCAGACCAACCUGCAGGCGCAACAGCACAAGUUCAGAGAAAAAUCCUGUUAUUUGGCAAGGAGUGCUGGUAUUUUCUGGAACCAGAACAACCAACAGACGCAACAGGAAAAGUUAUUCAAGCCUAGCAGUCCUGCCGGAUGUUUAACAAUAUAUGUUUGUUAGGUAUGGUAUGGUGUUUCUGGAGCUGAUUUCAUGACUAGCAGUUUGUGAAACAUAUCUUAGCAGUCUGAAAUGAAUAAAUUACUUCAGUAAUAUCUGUCAUCCCCAUAUGUUAUAUUUACAUUUGUGCACAAUUUGUUCAAAAUGUGAGUGGAAGUCUGUUCUUCAUCUUUCUCCUUUCUGUAGCCUUAUAUAUGGAGUUCUUUCUUUCCAUCUUUCCAUGUCCUAUUACAGAGUUUUUCUUCUUCUUGUUUUGGUUAUCAUAUUAGAAAAUUGUCUGUGAUUUUGCUUCUUGAAACAUGAGAUUGAAUCAUUGAAAGGGAGUGCCCAAGAUCAUUUUGUAAUGUUUGGAAUGUUAAGUGACCAAAAUGUAAAUAUGCUAAUAGUUUAGUGACCUUCGAUAGAAUUUACCCCAUAAUUUCCUCUUGUAAUAAGAUAAUCGUCCACCAUGGAGGUUGAAAAAUCAAAGUUUAACAAUGGUGGCUUAAUUUUACACGGCAUUGAAAAAUUGACCCAAAAAAGAUAUUGGGAUGGGUUUUAAUGCCUUGUAAUUCUUCUUUUUUACUCAACCUCUACCAACUCUUGUCUUAUCAGAGGGGGAAAUUUUGGGUAAACUGUAUUACUAAAUUUACUUUUUGGUCACUUAAUAUAGAAAAGCUCAGUUGUUAAGGUUUUUUUUUUUUUUUUUUUUAAAGUUUGGUUAAUGUGAUCCAAUAGAUAAUUUGACUAUCAGUAUGAUGGAUCACUAAUCAUCAAUAAGUUAUUCAACAUACCUUAAAUCUAAGUUAAUGUAAUGGUCAGUGUUGGAGGUCAGAGAAUAAAGUUGUUAGAAUUUUAGGUUGUAGAUUCGUGAAAUUUAAAGUUGUUUUAUGAAAAAUAUUUGAACUAUAGAAAAGAAGAAAAAUGUGAAUUUUCGAUUGGUGUAGGCGGUGUGAACAAAAAAGGUCACACAACAAAAAUUUUAAUAGCCCAAUAAUUUAAAUGAAAAAUUUUGAAUUAUUCAAUGAUUAUUUGUAAAAUUGAGUAACCAAAACGUAAAUUUAUAAAUAAUUUAAUGAUUUUAAGUGCAACUUAUCCAAUAAUUCCUCAUCUAAUAAUUCAAAAGUUCGAGGACCGUGUAGAGGUUAUAAAAUAAAAGUCUUAAGCGAUAGUGGUUUAAUUAGCUGGACGUAGAAAAAAUUGCAAUUGUUCUUUCUGACUCAACCCCUAUGAACAGCGGACUUUUGUCUGGAGGAAAUUAUGUGCAAAGUCAUUAAAUUAUUAUUAAGUUAGUUUUAAGCGACAAUUCAAUAUUUGGUACGGUUGAUUAAUAUCCAUCGAUAAGUAGAAGAAUUUAUCUUAGGUCCAAGUCAAUCUUACAAUCGAUGUCGAAGGUCAAAGAAAAAAAUUGUUUAGAUUUUAGUUUGUAGAUUCAUGAUAUCUAAAGCUGUUUCAUGAAAAAAAUUGAACUAUAAAAGAGAAGGGGUCAGAGAGCCUUCAAUUAGUGCAGAUGAUGCGAACAUAUAAGGACAUGCAAUAACAAUUUUAACAACCCAGUGACUUAAAUUAAAAAUUUCAAAUAAUUCAGUGACACCAUUUUGUAACUUUUUAAGUGAUAAAAUUAUAAUCUUACUAAUAGUUUAGACUCUAGAUGUAGUUUAUCCAAUAAUUUCCUCCUCUAAUAAGACAAAAGUUGCUAAACUGUCGAGGUUGAAAAGUCAAAAGUUGUGAGCAAUACUUUUGCAAUACUUAAGUUUUACUCAACCGAGGAGGAAAUCAUGGGUAAAUUGCAAUCAAGGUCAUUAAACUACUAUUAAGUAUAUUUUGGUCAUUCAAUAUUAAGAAGUUAUAAAAUGAUUAUUGAUUUAUUCGAAAGUUUUUAUUUAAGUCAUUGGACUAUUAAGUUUUAUUUUCUAAAAAAAUUACUAGUGAGUUCCAAGCGUCGAUUCAAUGAUUAGUAUAGUGGAUUAGCAGCCAUUUACAAGUAGAAAAAUAUACCUUAAAUCUAAGUUGAUUUGGCGGUCAAUGUCGAAGAUUAGAGAAGAAAGCUAUUUGAAUUUUGAUUCGCAGAUUUAUAACGUUCAAAGCUAUUUCAAGAAAAAAAGAAAUUGAAUGAUAGAAGAGAAGGGAACAAAGAGCUUUUGAUUGGUUUAGAUGAUGCAAAUAGAAAAGAUCAUGUAGCAUCAAUUUUAAUAGUCCAGUGACUUAAAUGAAAUCUUUCAAAUAAUUCAAUGAUCAUUUUGUGACUUUUUAAAAUUAAAUAAAAAAAUAAAUUUACUAAUAGUUUAAUAUUUUAUCCAAUAAUUCCUCCUCUAGUUAGACAAACGUUCACGGUGGAAGUUGAAAACAUUGGUGGCAUGAUGUAGCACGGCAUUGAAAAUCUGAACCAGAAAAGAAAAUUAGGAUGGCUUUGGACACUUUGCAAGUCUUCUUUUCUACUCAACCUCUACCAACUCUUGUCUUAUUAAAAGAGGAAAUUAUGGGUAAACUACACACUAAGUCACUAAAUUAUUAUUAAGUUUACAUUUUGGUCACUUAAAUUAAAAAACUAUACUGCUUAAGUAUUUAUUUUAAAAAAGACAAAAGUUUGGUUAGCGAGCUCCAAAUGCCAAUUCGACGAUCGGUAUGGUGGACCAGAACCCAUCGACAAGUAGAAGAACAAACUUUAGAUCCAAGUCGAUCUGACCAUCAGUAGUGCGGAUCAAUGAAGAAAGUUGUUGGGACUUUGAUUCGUAGAUUCGUGAAAUUCAAAGUUGUUUUAUGAAAAAUAUCUGAACUGUAGAAAAGAAGGGAAAAGUAAACUUUUGAUUGGUGCAGGCGUUGUGAAUAGAAAAGGCCACACAACAAAAAUUUUAAUAGCCCAAUAACUUACAUGAAAAGUUUUGAAUUGUUUAAUGACCAUUUUUAAAAUUGAGUAACCAAAACAUAAAUUUACAAAUAAUUUAAUGACCUUAAGUGCAGUUUACCCAAUAAUUCCUCCUCUAAUCUAGAAGUUAUAAAAUAAAAGUCUAAAGCAAUAGUGGUUAAAUUAGCUGGACGUUGAAAAUAUUAGUCUUAAGCAAUAGUGGUUUAUUAGCUGGCCGUUGAAAAUAUUGAAAUGAUUCUUUCUGACUCAACCACUAUCAUCGGUGGGUUUUUGCCUAGAGGAGGAAAUUAUGGGUAAAUUACACCCAAAGUCACUAAAUUAUUAUUAAGUUAGUUUCAAGCUACAAUUCAACGACCGGUACGGUUGAUUAAUACCUAUCGACAAGUAGAAGAACAUACCUUAGGUCUAAGUCGAUUUAACGAUCAGUGUCGAAGGUCAAAGAAGAAACUUGUUUGGACUUUGGUUUGUAGAUUUGUGAUAUUAAAAGUUAUUUCAUGAAAAAAAAUUGAACUAUAAAAGAAAAUGGUCAGAGAGCCUUCAAUUAGUGCAGGCAAUGUAAACAAAUAAGGACAUGCAACAACAAUUUUAAUAAUCCAGUGACUUAAAUAAAAAUUUUCGAAUAGUUCAAUAACACUAUUUUAUAACUUUUUAAAGUUGAAUAAUAAAAUUAUAAACUUACUAAUAGUUUAGGGAUAUUGGUCACGGUUUACUCAAUAAUUCCCUCCUCUAAUAAUAUAAAAGUCAAAGUUUUAACCGUGGUGGCAUACUUUAGCACCGCUUUGAGAAAUUGACAGGGCUUUGAACAUGUUACCAUUCUUUUUUUUUUACUCAAUGUCUACCAACUCUUAUCUGAUUAAAGAAGGAAAUUAUGAGUAAAUUAUAUUUAAGGUUAUUAAAUUAUUACUAAAUUUACGUUUUAGUCACUUAAUCUUAAAAAAAUUAGACUGUUAAGUUUUUUUUUUCUAAAAGGAAGAUUGGCUAAGUAGUUUCAAGUGAUGAUUCGAUAAUAAGUACUGUGAAUUAGUAUUUACUGGCAAGUAGAAGAACAUACCUUAGAUCUAAGGGUCAGUGUCCAAGAUUAGAGAAAAAAGCCAAUGACAUUAGAUAUAAUUUACCCUAUAACAAUUUUAAUAGCUCAAUGACUUGAAUGACAAGUUUUGAAUAGUUUGGUGAUCGUUUUAUAACUUUUUAAAGUUAAAUGAUCAAAACGUAAACUUACUAACAGUUUAAUAACAUAGAUAUAAUUUACCCAAUAAUUCCUCCUGAAAUAUGUCAAGAGUUGGUGAACCGUAGAGGUUGAAAAAUCGAAGUUGUGAGAAAUGGUGGGACAAUUAAUAGAAGAACUUGAGAAUAUUUAAUUCUUUUAUACCCGACCUCUGAGGAACUAGAGGAGGAAAUUUCGGGUAAAUUACUCUCAAGGUCACUAUAGUAUUAUCAAGUUACACUUUGAUCAUUCAAUUUUAAAAAGAAUUACAAAAUGACCACUGAAUAGCUUAUAAAUUAUGAGGAUCGGCCAUCUUUUUACUCGACCAAAGUUCACAAAUCAAAAAGAGAAAGAAAGGAUUGUUCUUCGAUAAGGUCAAGCUCUUUUCAUUUCCCCUUUUCAUUCUCACCAGAAUAUGCUAUUCUUUUGAGUUUUAACGUUAAUUAAUCACCAAAUUGUAUUGUUUUUCGCAGGAAUAGCGAUAACAGCGGCAUGACCAACCAUAAACUUAGGAAUUUCAGCCUUCGGAUGGCUGUAUUCCACGCCCUCUUGAAGAUCAAAUUCCAAUCCGAACGUAACAUUGAAUCUCCGUUCGAGACCCAAAGUGUGAUCGUGGCUGCGUUUGUGAUUUGUAUCCUUUUGUACGCCACAACUUUGUGCACUCCAUACUUCCCUGAACUUAUCGAUGACAUCAACCUCCUUGCCGGAAGUCUUGCCACUAUUUUACUUACGUUUAUCCUUUUCCCCGGUCUAGGUUGGGUUAUUAUUGUCAUUUGGGUCAUUUUCUUUGUUAAGCUAGUAUGCCGUGCAAUUGGAAAGUUUUGCCAGCUAUACCAUGACAUGCCAUCUAUAUCCGAUUUAUUCAAUCGAGUUUUUCUCGGUCGCCAGGCUCACCAAAACGAGGAAAGGUUAUUACCUCUUCAUGCAUGUCUAUACUAUUUCUAUCUCAUCACCAACUUAGCGAGGAAAAGAUCUAAAAGCUAUUAUUUGAGGAAAAUUAUUUGGUAUACAGUUAGUGAAAUUUUUAGACUCUACAAGUACAAUUGGAGCUGACAAGUGUCUUAUAGGUAUAAUAAAAUAGUGAACAAAUAAAUAUUUUAAAAAUUAGGAGACAUGUCAAAUUUUGUAAGGUUACUUGUGAAAUAAAAAAAAAUACAUUGCCAGUGUAACAAAUGUUCACCUUUAUUUUUAAUAAUAAAUAACAUUACUUUAAAGUGUUUUUAUCUUUUUAUAUCCAAAAUAAUUCCAAGUAACAGCACUUGAACGUAGGAUACCAAAAUCCCCAAAGAUUCAACUGAACUCUUAUUGAUUUUUUGUUAAGACUCACAACAAAAGUAAUACAUGUCCCAUUUAAGGUAUUGAUAUUUGGAUCCUGCUUGUGAAAUUAAAAAAUUUCAUGAGUGUGUGCCAAAUAAUUAUUUGCUACACAAGCGGGUUGAAAUGGAAUAACACUAACUUAGUAAAUGAUAUUACUUUAAAAGUGUUUUUGUAUUCUUAUAUUUAAACCCAAAAUAAAUUCAAAUGGCAACACUUGAGUUAAGAAGAUUCAGUUUAAUCAUUUCAAUCAAACUCUAAUUGAUUUUUUUAUGUUAAUGUGUUCAAUCUUUUGAAGGAAUGUUUGUUUAUCCAAAAUAACAUUUUUUUUUGUUGAGUGUAGGAAUGGUAGCACAGCCAACUACAAUUGGCAUGCUAGUUUGGCCUUCGCAAUAGGUGUACUCCUCCCUCUCAUGCCACUAAAGUAUCCUCAGUCCACGAAGCCACUUGAGACCCACAGUGCGCUCAUGUUGAUACUUAUCAUUGCUGUGCUUGUGUACGUCGCAGCUUGGGAAAUCGAACAUCAUCCUCAAACCAACAACAAUAACUCAUCCAUUCACCCCAUCAUAGUUACUAAAAUCAGUCUCUUUAGUGGAAGCCUCGUCACCGUUGUACUGGUAUUGCUUAUCGUCCCGGAAAUUGGGUGGUUCAUCCUUCUUGUUUGGACCCUCUUCCUUAUGAAGCAAAUAUACGAGGCAUGCCAUAUGCUCCACCGACUCAACCGGUCAAUUUCAUUGGUUUCGUAUGUGUUCAAUGAAGAAUUUGGUCCCCGUGCUCAUCUAAGCCAAGGAAGAAAUGGAUUGGUAGCUUAAGUAAAAUAACAAGUUAUUUAGAGUUUUAAAAGUAUUCUUAAUUGAUUUCGUGCCUUUUUAUGCUUAAGUAAAAUAACAAGUUAUUUAUCCCACUGAUCUUGUUUCAUUCCCAGAAGUGAAUGUAGCAUUACACAAUAAUUAUGAAAAUGAAAAUUAUAGAGGUUAUGUAACAUUACAUAAUAAUUAAAAAGUUUUUUCUUUUAAAGAAAAAUAACGAAAUUCAGGCCAAGUACAAGCUAUCCAAACUAAUUAGGAGUGUGACAAACUCAAUUUGAUUCAAAAUAUUGAGUUAAUUUAAUUAAGUUAUUCGAGUUAACCGACUUUUUAAGUAAACUCGAACGAGUAAUUUAAUUUUUCAAAAUAUAUAUAGUCUCAAAUUUAUGUACCUUUAGCUUGGAAUUUAGCACUAUCGUCAAGAAGGUUCUAAUUUGGUCUCUCUCUUGUAAUUUAAUUUAAAUAAAUUUUAAUAGUCCAGUAAUUUAAAUGAAGAAUUUUGAAUUGUUCAAUGAUAAUAUUUAAAGUUAAGUAACCAAAAUGUAAAUAUAUAAAUAAUUUAAUGACCUUAAGUGCAGUUAACCCAAUAAUUCCUCCUCUAAUAAUUCAAAAGUUCGCGAAAUAAAAGUCUUAAGCGAUGGUGAUUUAAUUAGCUGGACGUUGAAAUUUGAAAUUAAUCUUUCUGAUUCAACCACUACCAUCGGCGUGACUUUUGUCUAGAGGAGGAAAUUAUGGGUAAAUUACACCCAAAGUCCUUAAAUUAUUAUUAAGUUAGUUUCAAGCGACAAUUCGACGAUCGAUACAAUUGAUUAAUACCCACCGACAAGUAGAAGAGCAUAACUUAGGUCCAAUUCGAUCUAAUGAUUCAGUGUUGAGGGUCAGACAAGAAACUUGUUUAGAUUUUGGUUUGUAGAUUCGUGAUAUUCAAAACUGUUUCAUGAAAAAAAAUUGAACUAUAAAAGAGAAGGGGUUAAAAAGCCUUCAAUUAGUGCAGGCAACUUGAACAAAUAGGACAUGCAACAACAAUUUUAACAACCCCGUGAUUUAAAUGAAAACUUUCAAAUAGUUCAGUAACACCAUUUUGUAACUUUUUAAAGUUGAAUGAUAAAAUUAUAAACUUACUAAUAGUUUAGACUCUAGAUGUAGUUUAUCCAAUAAUUCCUCCUCUAAUAAGACAAAAGUUGCUGAACUGUCGAGGUUGAAGAGUCAAAAGUUGUGAGCAAUAACUAGAAUUGCAAGAUUGAAUAAGAAAACCAAUAGUACGGCAUUGAAAAUAGGCUUAAAAGAAAAAUUUCGCCAUUAAAGUUUAUAUGUUUUUGUUAAAAUGAUCCUAAUUAUAUUUUUGAGUUUUUUUGGUAAUCAACUUUGUUUUUUUUUUAACUAUUUUUUCUAAUAGAUUUGAUGAAAGUAUGGUUAAAAAAAUUAACAGGGAUGAUGUGAAAUAUUUUUAAUGAGAUAUAAUUUAUUAUUUAGGUAACCCAAUAAGAUAAUUACAUGUAAAAAAUAAUAAAAUAAAUAUAUCAUAUAUGAAAAUUAAAAAAUAACUCUUAAUUUUUAAAAAAUAAACGUAAUUAUCUAAAAAAGAAUGUUUCAAACUGAAUGCAUAUGUUUGUUUACUGAGAGGUUUUAAAAAAAAUAAUUAAUAAAUCAAACCGAAAAUAUUGGACGUGUGUAUCCAUUUUGAAACCAUUUUUUAGAUAAUUACGUUUUUUUAUUUAAAUUAAGAGUUAUUUUUUAACUUCAUAAAUUAUUUAUUUUAUUAUUUUCAACAUGUAAUUAUUUUAUUAGGCUAUUUAAGUAAUAAAUUACAUCUCAUUAAAAAUAUUUUGCAUAUGAAAUUCUAUAUAAUCCCAUUAACCUUUUUAACAAUACUUUCUUCAAAUUUGUUGAAAAAACAAUUUAAAAAAAACGAAUAAAGAUUGAUGGCAAAAAAAGGCUCAAAAAUACAAUUAGGGCCAUUUUGACAAAACAUGUAAACAUUAGUGGCCAAAUUUGUCAUUAAGUCUUGAAAAUAUUGCAAUCCUUCUGUUUUACUCAACCGAGGAGGAAAUCAUGCGUGUAAACUACCACCAAGGUCAUUAAACUAUUAUUAAGAUUAUAUUUUGGUCAUUCAAUUUCAAGAAAUUAUAAAAUGGUUAUUGAGUUAUUCAAAAAUUUUUAUUUAAGUCAUUGGACUAUUAGGUUUUUUCUAAAAAAAAUCUUACUAGUGAGUUUCAAGCAUUGAUUUGACGAUUAGUACAGUAGAUUAGCAUCCAUUGACAAUUAGAAGAAUAUAUCUUAUAUCUAAGUUGAUUUGAUGGCCAGUGUUGGAGAUUAAGAAGAAAGUUAUUUGAAUUUUGGUUCACAGAUUUAUGACAUUCAAAGCUAUUUCAAGAAAAAAAAAUUGAAUUGUUGAAGAGAAGGAAAUAGAAAGCUUUCGAUUGGCGCAGGUAAUGCAAAACAGAUAAGGCCAUGUAGUAUCAAUUUUGAUAGUCCAGUAACUUAAAUAAAAUCUUUUGAAUAGUUUAGUGAUUGUUUUGUGACUUUUUAAAAUUAAGUGAUCAAAAUAUAAAUUUACUAAUAGUUUAAUGACCUUAGAUGUAUUUUACCCAAUAAUUCCUCCUCUAAUUAGACAAACAUUCACCAUGGAAGUUAAAAACAUUGGUGGCAUUAGGGGUGAGCAAAAUCCGAUUCGAUUUGAAAAACUCGAUAAAAAAUUCAAAAUUUGAAUUAAAUAGUUUAAGUUAUUCGAGUUAAUCGAGUUAUUCAGAUAAACUCGAAUAAAAAAAUCAAAAUUUUCGGUUUAACUCGAAUAUGAAUUACACAAUUUGAGUUAAAAUCCAAUUAAGAAAAGGCAAAACUAUGUCAUUUUGAUUAAUGUUUACCCAUUAAGUUAAAAGGCAAAACCAUUAUAUUGUUUAUAUAGUUAAAUAAUAUUAUACUUCGUCUACUAGUUAAAUAAUUGAUCCAUGUAAACGCAACAUUGAGUAUAAAUAAUAAGAUUUGUUAACUUGAUUCGAUUAAAUUAGAGAAUAAUUCAAAUUGAGUUCAGUUGCUAAAAUAAGAUUCGUCAACUCGACUAACUUGAAAUUUUUUUACUCGACUCGAUCGAAUACUCACCCUUAGGUGGCAUGAUGUAGCACUGCAUUGAAAAAUUGAACAAAAAAAAUGGGACCGCUAUGAAUACUUUGCAAUUCUUCUUUUUCACCCAACCUCUACCAACUCUUGUCUUAUUAAAGGAGGAAAUUAUGGGUAAAAUACACUCAAGUGGCUAAAUUAUUAUUAAGUUUACAUUUUGGUCACUUAACUUAAAAAACUUGACUGUUAAGUUUUUUUUUUUUUAAAUAAAAGUUUGGUUAGCGAGCUCCAAAUGUCGAUUCAACGAUCAGUGUGGUGGAUCAGAACCCAUCGACAAGUAUAAAAACAAACCUUAGAUCCAAGUUGAUCUGACUAUUAGUAGCACGGAUUAGUGAAGAAAAUUAUUGGAAUUUUGGUCUGUAGAUCAAAGUUGUUUCAUGAAAAAAAUAUGAACUGUAGAAAAGAAUGAUAAGGAAAACUUUCAAUUGGUGUAGGCAGUGUGAACAGAGAAUGCCACGCAAUGAAAUUUUAACAGCCCAAUAACUUAAAUGAAAAUUUUUAAAUUGUUCAAUGACCAUUUUUAAAGUUGAAUAACUAAAACAUAAAUUUACAAAUAAUUUAAUGUCCUUAAGUGCAGUUUACCCAAUAAUUCCUCCUCUAAUAAUUCAACAGUUCGAGAACCGUGUAGAGGUUAUAAAAUAAAAGUCUUAAGUGAUAGUGGUUUAAUUAGCUGGGUGUUGAAAAUAUUGCAGUCUUAAAAAAUAGUGGUUUGAUAAGCUGGUCGUUGAAAAUAUUGAAAUGAUUCUUUCUGAAUCGAGCACCAUCAUCGGCGGGAUUUUGUCUAGAGGAGGAAAUUAUGGGUAAAUUACACCCAAAGUCAUUAAAUUAUUAUUAAGUUAGUUUCAAGUGACAAUCCAACGAUUGGUACGAUUGAUUAAUAAUCAUUGACAUGUAGAAGAACAUAUCUUGGGUCUAAGUCGAUCUGAUGAUUAGUGUCGAAUGUCAAAGAAGAAAUUUGUUUGUAUUUUAAUUUAUAGAUUCGUGAUACUCAAUUGGGUGGUUCAUUCUUCUUGUUUGGACCCUCAUCCUUAUAAAGCAAAUAUACGAGGGAUGCCAAAUGCUCCACCGGCUCUACCAGUCAAUUUCAUUGGCUCCAUAUGUGUUCAAUGGAAUAGUUGGUCCCCGUGGUCAUUUAAGCCAAUGAAGAAGUGGAUCGGUAGCUUAAGGUUUCUAGUGUAAUAACUUGUAGGAAAUAUUAUUUAUUACAUAUGUAUUACAAUAGUUAGAUAUUAAGUAAAAUUAUUAGUAUAAAUUUAAACUUAAAAUUAGAAAUAUAAAUAAAAACUUUUGUAAAAAAACAAAGUUUCUUCAAAAUAAGCAAAAAAAAAAAAAUCCUUCUCCUUUUUAGAUAGAAGUCAUGUGAAUGGUUAAAAAUUACCAAUUGAAAUUAUUUUAUUGCUAACUCAUAUACUAAAAUAUAGUGAAAAAUAAUACUCCUACAAAACUCAAGAAAUUAUCCUGCUUGGAAUGCUUAGUGAUAUGUCAACCAUGUUUUUCUUUUCUUUUCUUGCUUAAUUAAUUUAGUGAUUUUUGUAACAGCCUCGAUUUGCUCUCUAUCCAGUUUGAUGUUUAGACAGAUAUUUGAAUAGAGGUGUGGACAGAAAAAAAGGUAAUAAGCAAGUAAGAGAAAGAGAAAAAUAGGCAUACAAACUUUGUUAAUGCAGUUAAAAAAAUAUUCUAAUUAUGCGGACUCUCGCUCAGUGAAUGAUUUAUUCAACAAUCAAUCAAGUAACUUAUUGGUUAAAACUCAAUCUACCUUUACACAAAUAAAUAAUUGCAAUCUCAAUAGAUAACCCUAACUUGUUACAAUCACUCAUCCAAAUAAGCUAACUUACAAUCAAAUAUAACCUCUCCAAGAAAGCCUAUAACUCACAAGUGGUUUAAAAAUUUUCAUGAUUCAGUGCAAUAUUUCACUUUAAGAACAACAGUACUUCAAGCUAGCUAAACCAACAUAAAUAUCAAAAUCACCAAUGCAAUCCAAAAUCAACUGUACAAUAAUUUAUGUUUCACUCCCUUAGUUAAGCCGAAGCAGAGAAACUCCCAAGUAAUUAAACAAACAUUUACUCGAAAGUAACAAAGAAAGAAACAUCAGCAAUGAAGUUGAUCCAACUUGACGAUCAGUACGGUUGAUCAAUACCCAUCGACAAGUAGCAGAACAUAUGUUAGAUCCAAGUCGAUCUGAAGAUCAGUGUUGAAGGUCAGAGAAGAAAAUUGUUUGGAUUUUGGUUUGUAGAUUCGUGAUAUUCAAAAUUGUUUCAUUAGAAAAAAUAUAAACUAUAAAAGAGAAGGGGCCGGAGAGCUUUCAAUUAGUUCAUGCAAUGCAAACAAAUAAGGACAAGCAGUAACAAUUUUAACAGCCCGGUGACUUAGUUGAAACCUUUUGAAUAGUUCAAUGACACCAUUUUGUAACUUUUUAAAGUUGAGUGACUAAAUAAUAAAUUUACUAAUAAUUUAGUGACAUUACGUGUAAUUUACCCAAUAAUUUCCUAUUCUAAUAAGACAAAAGUCAAAGUUUUAACUAUGGUGGGCCAAUUUAGCACGCCAUUCAAAAAUUGAGCCAAAAAAAGGUAGGAGCUUUGAAUAUGUUGCAAUUCUUCUUUUUUUACUCAACGCCUACCAACUCUUAUCUUAUUAGAGGAGGAAAUUAUGAGUAAGUUACAUUCAAUUUUAUUAAAUUAUUACUAAGUUUAUGUUUUAGUCACUUAACUUAAAAAAGCUAGGCUGUUAAGCUUUUUUUUUUCUAAAAAGAUUGGUUAGGUAGCUCCAUGUGAUGAUUCGAUGAUCAGUACAGUGGAUUAGUACCCAUCAACAAGUAGAACAUGUCUUAGAUCUAAAGGUCAAUGUCGGAGACUAGAGAAGAAAGUUGUUCAGAAUUUGGUUAAUAGAUUUGUGAUGUUCAAAGUUGUUUCAUAAAGAAAAAACUAAACUAUAAAAGAGAAGGAGAAUGAGAACUUUCGAUUGUUGUAGGUGGUAUGAAGAAAAAAGACCAUGCAACAACAAUUUUAAUAACAUAAUGACUUAAAUGAAAGGUUUUGAAUAGACAAAUGGUCAUUUUGUAACUUUUUCAAGUUGAAUGAUCAAAAUGUAAAUUUACUAAUAAUUUAGUGACCUUAUAUGUAGUUUACCCAAUAAUUCCUCCUGAAAUAAGUCGAGUCUGUGAACCGUAAAGGUUGCAAAAUCAAAGUUGUGACCAAUGGUGGAAUAAUUAAUAGAGCAUUGAAAAUAUUGCAAUUAUUUUAUACUAAACCUCUCUAAUAUUAGAUGAGGAAAUUAUGGGUAAAUUACCCUUAAGGUCACUAUAUUAUUAUCAAGUUUAUGCUUUGAUCUCUCAAUUUUAAAAAAAUUUACAAAAUAUCACUAAAUAGCUUAUAAAAGAGAAGGGGAAGGUAAACUUUUAAUUGGUGCAGGUGGUGUGAAUAGAGAAGGCAAUGCAACAACAAUUUUAACUACCCAAUGACUUACAAGAAAAGUUUUGAAUAGUUUAGUGACCAUUUUGUAACUUUUUAAAGUUGAAAGACCAAAAUAUAAACAUACUAAUAGUUUAGACUCUAGAUGUAGUUUAUCUAAUAAUUCCUCCCCUAAUAAGACAAAAGUUACUGAACUAUCGAGGUUGAAAAGUCAAAGUUGUGAGCAAUAGCUAGAAUUGAAAGAUUGAAUAAAAAACAAUAGUAGGGAAUUGAAAAUAUUGCAAUCCUUCUGUUUUACUCAACAGAGGAGGAAAUCAUGGGUAAACUAUAACCAAGGUCAUUAAACUACUAUUAAGUUUAUAUUUUGGUCAUUCAAUUUUAAGAAAUUAUAAAAUGGUCAUUGAGUUAUUCAAAAGUAUUUAUUGAAGCCAUUGGACUAUUAAGUUUUAAAAAAAAAAUCUUACUAGCAAGUUUCAAGCGUCGAUUCGCGAUUAGUACAACGGAUUAGUAGCCAUUGACAAGUAGAAGAAUAUACUUUAGAUCUAAGCUGAUCUGAGGGUCAGUGUCAGAGAUAAGAGGAAAAAAAUAUUUGAAUUUUGAUUGGUAGAUUUAUGACGUUCAAAGUUGUUUCAAGAAAAAACUUGAAUUGUAGAAGAGAUUGGAAUAUAGAGCUUUUGAUUGGUGCUGGCAAUGCAAACAAACAAGUCCAUGUAGCAUAAAUUUUGAUAGUCUAGUGACUUAAAUUAAAUAUUCAAAUAGUUCAAUGAUCAUUUUGUGACUUUUUAAAAUUAAGUGAUCAAAACAUAAAUUUACUAAUAGCUUAAUGACCUUAGAUGUAUUUUACCCAAUAAUUCCUCCUUUAAUUUGACAAAUGUUCACCGUGGAAGUUGGAAACAUUGGUGGCAUGAUGUAGCACAUCAUUGAAAAACUGAACCAAAAAAAAAAGGAUGGCUUUGAAUACUUUGCUCAACCUCUACCAACCCUUUUCUUAGAGGAGGAAAUUAUGGGUGAACUACAAUCAAGUGACUAAACUAUUAUUAAUUUUACAUUUUACUCACUUAACUUAAAAAAUUGGCCUGUUAAAUUUAAAAAAAAAUAAAAGUCUAGGUAGCGAACUCCAAAUGAUGAUUCGACGAUCAGUAUGGUGGAUCAGAACCCAUCGAAUAGUAGAAGAACAAACCUUAGAUCCAAUUCGAUCUAGCUAUCAGUAGCGCAAAUCAAAGAAAAAAUUUGUUUGCAUUUUGGUUCCCAGAUUUGUGAUAUUCAAAGUUGUUCUAUGAAAAACAUCUGAACUGUAGAAGAUAAGGGAAAGAUGAACUUUUGAUUGGAGCAGGUGAUGUGAAAGAGAAGGCCACGCAACAAAAAAAUUAACAUUUCUGUAACAGCCCGAUUUCGACUCUAAUUGGACAUAGUGGUUUCGGGACCACAAGUUCCAGUCAAAAAAAUAUUUUAAUAUUAUUUUCUGUGUUUAUCAUGUGUGAAUUUACUAGUGUGAAAAUUUCGUGCUUUAAUUUCGUCGUUUGAGUGUCCGAUUAAAUAAAAGGAUUAAAUUACGUAAAAUAAAAAUUUAAUGGUUAUUUCUAAAAGGGCUGAAUAGUGGUUAUUCUUUUAAUAUGGAGGUUUUAUUUUGCAAUUUGACCAUUAAAAAGAUAGUGGACGACAUUAUGUGUAUAAUAUAUAGUUUUUAUAUUAUUUAUAAAGGUUAUAAUAUAUAUUAUAUUAUAAUAUUAUAAUUAAACAAAUAAAAGCCACUAUCAUCUUUUAUUUCAUUAUCAUCUAACCGAAACUAAGAAAAGAAAAGAAAAGAGAACAACCAAGCUAUUCGACCAUCUUUGAAGCUUGAUUUAAGUUAUGUUUGGUUUCGGUUUUUGAUGAUUUUUACGUUUUUGUGAUCGUUGCUUCGUGUUAUAUCUAGCCCAUGUUUUAAUUUUAGAAUUUGAUGGUGAUUUUAAGACAUGCCAUUUAUGAAUACUUGAGCUUGGUAAUAGUUGAUGAUGAAAUAUGAAAGAUAUGUGAUAGAUUAUAAUGUUUGUUCUUGAAUUUUUGAUGAAUUUGAUUAUUUUGGGUUAAUUUGUAAGAAAAUAUUUAAUUGGGGGACUAAAAGGUGAAAUAAAUGACAUGCAAGGACCUAUAUGAGUCUAGGGAAUAUUUGGCCAAAAUAUAGUGUGGUCAAUUUGGAAUAUUUCGUAUUUUGUACAAUUUGGACUAAAUUAUAAAAAUGUUAAAUAUCAGGGGCAAAAUGGUAAAUUUUCCAUUUAUGUGUUGUUGGAAAAAAUUGAAUGAAAUUAUGUUUGAAUGAAUUCAAUUUGAAUGUGUUUAGAUUAAGAAUUAAAGAAAUCAGACUUGGAUCGGGGGAAGACUAAAGUUGUUGAAUAAUCGUUCCGUUUCGAUUAUCGUUGUCUGAGGUAAGUUUAUAAGAAAAUAGACGUUGUAAAUUUUAGAUAAAUAUUAAUUAUAUAUGCUGAAAUGAAAUAUGCAAAAAAUAUAUAUGUGGUAGCCAAAUGUGUAUAUGUUUGAGAAGCAGGGAUAGAUGUGAAGGUGAUUUGUUGAUAUUUAGCACUGAGUGUGCGAGUAUGAAAUAGAUACGGCUAUAUGAUUAGCACUAAGUGUGUGAAUUAAAUGAUGAGGUUGAAUAACGAGCGCUAAGUGUGUGAAAUUAAAUAAUGAUGUUAAAUAACGGGCACUAAGUGUGCGAAACCGAGAUCAAUUUGGUUAAGUGAGAGAAGAGCACUAAUGGUGCAACUUUAUUAAUGCUUCGAUAAAUUAUUUAGUACAAAUUGUACUGAUCCGAUGAAUGAUAAAUGUGACACAUAUGUAUAUGUUGGUAUAAGUAUGUAAUAUUUAAUUAAUAUAUGCUAUCAAAUUUAGUUGGUUAUGUCAAUUGGGAUACAAAAGUAUGUGUAUGUGUAAAAAGCCUAUAUAUAUAUUCGGCCAAAGGGUAAGUAUAUGUGUGAAGUCAUAACUAUGUUUUAUAUGCAUUUAUAUAUGAAUGAGUAUAUUCGGUAAAGAGUGGUAUAUGAUUUGAAUACGAAAAAAAUAACUAUGUUAUUACUUAAUGUAUAUUCGGCCAAGCUGAAAUUGGUUCAUAGUUAUAUAUUUGAUAUAUAUAAGAUUUGCAAGCUCGAAUGCGUAUAUAUGAAUAUGAUUGCAUUAUUCGGCUUGUUAUUGAAUUUUUAACGUCAUUGAAUUGUUUAAUUGCUUAUGACUUACUAAGCUGUGAUAGCUUAUUAUGUAUAUAUGUUUCCUUCAGUUUUAUAGAUUUUGGAAGCUAGUUAUGGGCUCGAGGAUCGUCAGCGUAGUCAAUCACACUAUCAUCCGUCCAUUGGUACCUAUAAAAGUUAAAUUUAAAAUCUAUGGCAUGUAUAGGCUAUACUACCCCUUUUGAAUAUAUUUUGAAUGAAGUGUAUAUAUAUAAUAAGCCAUGUGAAGAUGGCUUGUUUAUUUUGACAUGAAUGGUUUCAUACUUUGAUUAAAUAUUAUGGUUGAUGAUUUGGCUAUGUUUCUUAAAUGGUUGAGACUAAUAUAAGUGAUGUUAUGUUUUGGAGGAUUUUGAAUUUUGAUAAUUAUGAAUAUUGAUUGUGAUAGACAAGUAAAGUUGAUUGAUAUGAUACGGUAUAAGUAUAAGCUAUGUUUGAAAUCAUGGAUGGAAAUAUUUUAAUUUUCGGUAAUUGACAUUGAAUUUGAAUUAUCAUUUACUAUGUGAAAGUUGUAUAUUUAUUUACUAUGAAUAUAGAGUAGUUGAAAUUGGUAAAUUGCAUAAUGAGCAUUGUUUAUGGAAUUGGUCUUGUAAAUGACCUUUGAAACAUGGAGGGAUAAAUAAUACAUAGUAAAUAAAUAAAUAAAUAAAUAAAUAAAUAAAUAAAUAUAUAUAUAUAUAUAUAUAUAGGAUCGGUCUUGGUAUGUUAUGCAUGGAAUUGUUUGAGUAUUGAUGAAUUUGAUAUUGGUUAAAACAUAAGUAUUUAAGCUUAAUUGUAUUCGAAUAAAGCUUGGGAAAUUGGCCAUAUGAAUAGUUAUUUUAUUUAUUUGAUGAACAAAUAUUUGUAUGCAAUUUGAUAAGUUGUUUUGAGUGUAUGAAUAAUAAUAAGUAAAUAUACUAUGAAAUUAUACAAAUGCUUAUGGCAUAUUCAGCCCAAUGUUUUUAUUUGUUUGUAUUUAUAAGGGUUGAUAUAGGUACAUAUGUUAAAAUAUAAUGAUUACAUGUAAAAUAGGUAAAAUUUUAAAUAUGAGUUUUAUAUACACAUUUGUGUCAUUGUUAUUUGUAAUUGAUUUGUUAGUCGAGUAGGCGAAAUGAGGUAUGACCAAAAGUGGUGUUUGAAAUAUUCUACAUAAUUUUUAAUUAUGAGUUAUGUGUUUACGAAUUUUUUCGAUGCAUGAUAUGAAAUGACUUGUAAUAGGUUGAUAUUACCUUUUUGAUUUAAGACUUGGUUGGUUUAGUAGGUUGAACAUGUGUAUAUAUAUAAUUAUUCGAAUUUGAAUUUGGUUCGGUAAUACCUAGUAACCCGAUUUCCGACGACGAUUACGGGUUAGGGGUGUUACAAGUUCAAUAACUCAAAUGAAAAGUUUUGAGUUGUUAAAUUGUCAUUUUUAAAGUUGAGUAACCAAAAUAUAAACUUACUAAUAAUUUAGUGACCUUAAGUGCAGUUUACCCAAUAAUUCCUCCUCUAAUAAUUCAAAAGUUCAUGAACCACCUAAAAGUUGACAAAUAGAAGUCGCAAGCAAUAGUGGGAUAAUUAAUUGGGCGUUGAAAAUAAUGCAAUUCUUCUUUCUUACUCAACCUCUACCGUUGGCAUACUUUUGUCUAGAGGAGGAAAGUAUGGGUAAAUUACACCUCAGGUCACUAAACUAUUACAGAGUUAGUUUCAAGUGACAAUUUGACGAUCGAUAUGAUUGAUUAGUACCCAUUUUCAUAAUAUGGAGCAUUAUAAAACUCACAAAUUUCUCUAGGGGUGACAUGUACAUCUUUGCCUCGUAUUUGUAUGUUCUCCCAAAAGGCAUCAUAAGGUCGCCUAGACACCCAGUCCCUAAAUGAUGCAUAAAACUCUUGUAAUACAAGGAUUUCAGCGCGAGGUCUCUAGGAGUCACACAAAGACAUUCCCACCUAUGAUACCUAACGAGUGCCCAAAUUUCUUUGCACAAUACCAUCGAUGGUUCAAAACUCCUCUAUUGUAUGAACUUGUUUCCUUGAAGUUAAUCUAGUUUUUCUAAGAGGCAUGUUUCAAAACUAUUCGACUAGUGAACUAAAGAUUCAAGCAAUAAGCAAGCAAUAUAACAGUAAAAUUUGAAGAAAGGAACUCUUAACCUCGUUACACUGGUUACUCUUUGUUCCGUUUGAUGAGUUUGUCACAAAUUCCUUGUGGAUAUGAAGCUUGAUACUUGCACAAGAGAGAAACCACAAAAAAAUUGCAUCAAUAGAGAAAAGAAAGAGAAAAGGGGUUUUUGAAGUUGAAGAGUUUAAGAGGUUUUAGAGUUAGAAAAGGUUUGGGAAUAUUUUAGAAGUGUUUUCGUUUUAAAGAAAGUGACAUUUUUAGGUUAGAAAUUGGGUAAAAUAGGGGUUUAUACCGGUGAGUUGCGUAAUGGGUUGGGUCAACCCUGAAAAAUUGCAGGGAUGUCGCGACAUAGGGGUUCCAUGUCGCAACACCCCUAGUAGUCUUCUGAUGUCGCAACAUCGAGGUUCGAUGUUGCAAUACACCUUUAAAAUUUGAGAUUUAGGGCUAUUGUCUUCGAUGUUGCGACAUAGGGGGUACCCGUGUUGCAACAUCGACUAGAUUUUUGAAAUCGUGUCAUGUUGCGACACUGGCCCCUUUAUUUGCCUUUUUUCUUGAAUUUCAAGGUGUUCGGUUCAAAUAUCAUAUCCUUACACUAUUUUAAAUCCUGAUUUGUCUUACUUAGUCCUCCUAUUCAAACGUAUUCAAAAAUUAGCUUUAAAAAAAUUUACAACAAAAUUAAUAAAGUGUUUUUUUUAUUAUCAAGUGUUGCUGCCGGACUCAUCUGUCAACUACAUCAGUUUGUACAUGGACACAUCUUUAUCAAUUUUCUAUUCGUGUUGGUCCAGCACCCAUCACGCCACUCUACUGUACUCAUCUUUUCUCACUCUCGGAACUUGCCUUUUCUUCCUACACUAAUCACAGAAAUACCCUUUUCAAAUCAAGGUAGUUAGGGAAAUUUACAGAUAUUAUAUAACAUGUUUUCCCAUGACCCUAUUACCGUUGUUCUGUCGGUGACCACAUUUAAAUACUUCAGUCUCACCAUUGAUUUUUAUGAUUAAUUCAUUAUUUUCUAAGUCAAUAGUGGACCUAGAUGUGUCUAGAAACGGUCUCCCUAAUGGAAUAGGGUUUUCACGGUCUUCUUCGAAGCAGCUAAUUGUAGUGUGAUAUGUGUAUUCCUAAGUUCCCAUAACUCGAGUUUUUCAUAAAUUGAUAGAGGCAAUAAUUAAUAUUGGCUUAUAAGUCACAUAGGGCCUUACUAAAAUGAAUGUCCCUUAUCUUUAUUGGAAUAAGAAAACUCCUCAGGUCUUUUAACUUUGGAGGUAUUUGUUAUGUAAUAAUUGCGCUACAGGAUGCAUCUAUAUUAACUUGCAAUCCCGUUUUAAUUUUCCUAAGUAUUUAUCAUAUUUAGUAACUUUAAAUAGCUUUAAAAAACUUUCAAACUCCGAUUCAUCCCGUUUUCAUUUAUCCUCUAACUGUGAGGGGAAUGGUACCAUUGUAUGUUUUGGUUUUAUUUUAGCAUUGUCGUUUCUAGGGAUUUCUUCUUGAAGAUUGUUGGCAUCCUUCUUGUCCUCCUCUUUAGUUGGGUUGUUUGGGCUAUUCAGUACUUUACCCGAAUGGAGCGCUAUUGCUUUUACAUGCUCCUUCUACAUUGACAACUUUAACUAUGGAUGGUUUCUGGCCAUAAGUAAAUCGCUCUUUUGGCCACUAGCAGGAACUCAUCACCAUGUUUUCAUUAAGACCAUAUGCAUUUUCAUAUGUUCGAUUCAUUAAGACUCCUUCUGCGGCUCCAUCUAAUCCUGAUCUCGAUUGUACAUCGAGCGUAACAACCUUAACUCGUAUCCAUCGCUGAAAUAGGGUUACGAAGUAUUACCAAAAUUUACAAUACAAAAAAUAGAAUUUUGAUCAUUUUCUAUCAUCAAACUUCAAAACUCAAGCAUAUUCAUCAAUGGAAAAACCCUAGUAGUUUAACAGUUUCACAAAUUAGUCCCCAGGCUAGCUAGAUUAAGCUGGAACCAUUUUGAAAACAUAUAAAUCAUUAAAAAUGGGGCAAAAAUCAAACCUAAUUGGACAAUAGAAGCUUGGCCGAAAGUUAAGCACAACAAUGGCUUCUUUCUCUCUUUAAUAUUCGGUUGAAACAAAAAAUUAAAGAUGAAGACUUUAAUUUGUUUAUUUAUUUAUUUUAUCUUUAAUAACGAAUUUGCUUAUUAACCUUUAAAAUUAUUCCAAAUUACAACAUUACCAAGCCAUGACUUUCCACUAACACAUUUAUGGACUAAUUACUAUAUAAAGGCCUCCACUUUAAAGUUCUAUAGCUAUUUAAUACCUUUAGCUAUUAGAACUCCACUUUUGCAUUUUAUGCGAUUUAGUCCUUUUUAUCAAAUUAAGCAUGUAAACGAUAAAAUUUCUUAACGAAAUUUUUAUACGAUAAUAAUAUCAUGCUGUAGGCAAUAAAAUAAUAGUAAAAUAAAUUUUUGACUUCUAAUUUUUGGUCCCAAAAUCACUGUUCCCAUUUUGCUGAAAACGGGCUAUUACAACUCUCCCCCCUAAAGGGAUUUUUGUCCCCGAAAAUCUUACUAGAAAAGAGGUUCAGAUAUUUCUUUCUCAUAGCUUUCUCGAGUUCCCAGCUGACUUCUUCUAUUCCGUGUCGUUUCUAGCUGUGUUCUUGUUUCUUAAUUCUUUCACCUCCCGAGCCAGAAUUCUGAUCGGUUCCUCACUAUAUGACAUAUCAGAUUGAAUAUCAACAUCAGUCGGGGAGAUAACAUGUGAAGGGUCAGAUCGUUACCGUCGUUACAUAGACACGUGAAAAGCAUUAUGAAUUAUUUCAAGUUCUGACGGUAAAUCUAAUCGGUAUGAAACAGGUCCAAAUCUUUCAGUAAUCUCAUACGGCUCGAUAACUCACGGACUCAACUUUCCUUUACGACCGAAUUGAAGAACUUUUUUCCAGAGAAAAACUUUCAAAAAUACUCUGUCGCCAACUUGGAAAUCUAUAUCUUUGCAUUUAAGAUCUGUAUACGAUUUUUGACGAUCUAAAGCUACUUUUAAGCUAUCUCGGAUUACUUUCACUUUUUCCUCAGUCUCGUGAAUCAAAUCAGCCCUGUGUAUCUUUUUCUGACUGAGCUCGGUCCAGUAUAAUAGAGUUCGACAUUUACGACCAUACAGAGCCUCAUACGGUGCCAUUUUUUGUGCUAGACUGAAAACUAUUUUUAUACAUAAAUUCAACCAGCAGUAAAUAUUUCUCCGAGUUGCCUUCGAACUCUAGUACACAACAUCGAAGCAUAUCUUUGAGAAUCUGAAUCACAUGUUCGGACUGACCAUCGGUCUGACGGUGAAAUACAGUGCUAAAAUACAACUGUGUACCAAGAGCUUCCUGUAACUUUCUCCAAAAUCGCGAUGUAAACCGAUGAUCUCUAUCCGAAAUAAUGGAGACUAACACUCCGUGUAAUAUGACAAUCUCAGAAAUAUAUAACUCAGCCAAUCUUUCAAGGGAGAAAUCUGUACGUACCGGAAUAAAAUGUGCAGACUUCAUCAAACGGUUAACAAUAACCCAAAUAACAUAUUUCUUUCUCGGAGAUAGGGGUAAACCCGAUACGAAAUCCAUAGUAACUCUAUCCCAUUUCCAUUUCGGUAGCAUCACUGGCUGUAAUAGUCCUAAAGGUACCUGAUGUUCAGCUUUAACUUGCUGACAUACAAAACAUCUCAGUACAAAAUUAGAUAUUUCACGUUUCAUUCCUGGCCACCAGUACAUCUAUCUCAAAUCACUAUACAUUUUAUUGCGUCCUAGGUGAACAUACAAGCUACCACUGUGAGCUUCGUGUAAGAUUCUCUGAAUGAGCUUUGGAUUCUUCGGAACAAAAACUCUACCUCUGAACAAUAAACAAUCAUCAGGUCCUAUCUAAAAUUCUAAAUCAAUAAUCGACUUACACUGUGCUGUUUAGCUAACAAAUCAUUGUCACAUUUUUAGCUUCACAGAUCUACUGUAAAAUCAUCAGUCUAGCUUUCAACUUAGUUAAGAUUGAUCCAUCUCCAGAUAGUGUCAGUUGCGUAUUCAUCGUGUGCAGAGCAAACAAGGACUUUCUACUCAAAGCGUCAGCAACUACAUUUGCUUUUCCCGGAUGAUAAUCAACGAUCAAUUCAUAAUAUUUCAAUAGUUCAAGCCUUGUUUCAGAUUUAGAUCUUUCUGUGACAUUAAAUACUUUAAACUCUUAUGAUCAGUAAAUAUGUGACAUUUUUCUCCGAACAAAUGGUGUCGCCAAAUUUUUAAUGCAAACACAAUAGUUGCCAAGUCUAAGUCAUGUGUCGGAUAGUUCUUUCCGUGCGGUUUUAACUGUCUGGAAGCAUAAACUAUUACUUUGCCUUCCUGCAUCAAAACACAGCCUAAACCAUUUAAAGAUGCAUAGCUAAAAAUCACAAAUUCUUUACCUGAUUCAGGCUGAACUAGAACUAGUGCUUCGGUCAACAAUGCUUUCAACUGAUUGAACUUUGCUAACAUUUAUCGGACCAUUCAAAUUUCACAUCUUUUUGUAAUAACCGCGUCAUCAGUGUAGCUAUCAUUGAGAACCCUUGAACGAAUCUUCGGUAAUAACCAGCUAAUCCCAGAAAACUUUUGACUUUAGAUACGUUUCUCGGUGGUUUCGAGUAAACAACAAUGGGAAUUUUACUCGAGUCAACUCUGAUGCCUUAAGCCGAUACAGUAUGUCCCAGAAAAUCUACUUCUUGGAGUCAAAACUCACAUAUGCUAAAUGUAGAAAUAGUUGUUUAUCUCGCAGAGUUUGCAAAACAAUUCUCAAAUGUUUAGCAUGCUCGAAUUCAUCUCGGGAAUAGAUCAGAAUGUCGUCAAUGAGUACCACAAAAAAUUUGUCUAAAUAUGGACUGAAGAUUCAGUUAAUCAAAUCCAUAAAUACUGAGGUGCAUUAGUUAAACCAAACAACAUCAUAAGUAAUUCAUAAUGUUCGUACCUAGUUCUAAAUGCAGUUUUCGGUACAUCAGAAUCUUUCACUCGCAGCUGAUAAUAGCCAGAACGAAGAUCAAUCUUCGAGAAUACUGUGACACCUUUCAACUGAUUGAACUGGUCAUCAAUUCGAGGUAGUGGAUAUUUAUUUUUUAUUGUAAUAUUGUUAAGCUGACGGUAAUCUAUACACAAUCUCAUCGAUCUGUCCUUUUCUUAAUGAACAGAACCGGUGCACCCUAAGGAGAAAAACUAGGUCGAGCAAAACCUCUAUCUGUCAACUCUUGCAGCUGUACUUUCAACUCUUUUAACUUGGUAGGAGCCAUUCUGUAAGGUUCUAUCGAUAUUGGUGAUGUUACUAGUACCAAUUCUAUAGCAAACUCAACCUCUCUGACCGACGGUAAUUCAGGUAACUCCUUUGGAAAUACAUUGGGAUACUCGCAAACCAUUGACACUGAUUCAAGCUUUGAUUCAGACCGUUUAGUAUCCAGUGCACAAGCAAGAUAAGCAUUACAACUUUUUCUCACAUAUUUCUGUGCCGACAUAGUUAAUGUAAAAAUCGGUAACCCACUCAAAUUAUUUGAUUUAAUACGAAACGUCUCAUUGUUUUGACAUUUCAAAAUAAUAAGCUUUUGUCUACAGUUUACAACAAUAUCAUGCAGAGUUAGCCAAUCCAUACCUAGAGUCACACCAAAUUCAUCAAAUGAUAACAACAUCAAAUCAGCCGAAAAACUAUAACCCUGAGUCAUUAAAGGGCAAUUCUUACUGACUUUAUCAACUAGUACAUACUAACCUAGGGGGUUCGAUACUUUAACUGCAAAUUCAGUAAACUCAACAGGUAAAUUUUUACUAGAUACUAACUUCGUGCAAACAUAUGAAUGGGUUAAUCCUAGAUCAAUCAGAGCAGUAACAUCAGUGUCAUAAAUAGAGAAAGUACUGGUAAUAACAUCUAGCACAAAAGCAUCCUCGUGAGUGCGAAUAGUAGAAGCCCUAGCUAGUGCCUGUGCCUCAGAUCUCACAGCAGAAUCUUUUGUAAUACCACGACUACCACUCACAUUUCCAAGAUUACGAGGUGGUUUACCUCUCACAACAGUAUUGCUCGGCCUCAUGGUCUGAGCUUUUUCUUUCUCGGAUUUCUCUAGGCAAUCUCUAAGAUAGUGGUCUAAGGAACCACACUUAAAGCAUGCUUCGCUCUUCACUUGACACUCACCAUAAUCUGAUCUAUUACAGUGGUUACACUUGGGUCUAACAUCUCUGGCACUACCCAUAAUCGCUAUAGAUGUAGCCUGAGGUUUAGGACUGGAGCGUGGGGUACCUCUGUCUCUACUAGAAUAUCCUACAGAAGCAAUAGAACUGUUGUGAUGUUCUUUUGAUUUCUUUGAUACUGAUUGAUAGGACUUCUCAGUCAAUCUUUUUUUCGAGUCUCUAGCUUCAAAAUCUGCACGUCUUUUCUCUUUACUUAGUUCUUCGACCUUAUGUGCCCGGUCAACCAGUACAACAAAUUCUUUCAAUUUCAGAAUUCCCACCAGAAGCUUUAUGUCUUUGUUUAACCCAUCUUCGAAUCUUUUACACAUAGCGGUCUUAGUCAGAACACACUCCCGGGCAUAUUUACUUAAUCUGACAAAUUUUCGCUCAUACUCAAAUACAGUCAUAUGGCCCUAUUUAAGCUCCAGAAAUUCUUUAUGUUUUUGAUUCAGAAACCUCUGAUUGAUGUAUUUCUUUCAGAACUUGGUUUGGAAAAAUUCCCAGGUGAUCCGCUCUCUUGACACAAUUAAAGUCAACUUGUUCUACUAUUGGUACGCUGAAUCUUUCAAAAAUGAUACCGCAUAUUUAACACAUUCAGCCAGUGUGUAGGAUAGCUCAUCAAAAACCCUGAUCAUAUUCUCUAACCAGAAUUCAGCUCUCACGGGAUCAUACUCGGCUGUAGCUCAGAAUUUUUCAGUCCCGUACUUACGUAUCUUAUCAACAGGAGGAUUAGUAACUCGAAUUUGUUCCAUAACGGGAACUGAUUGGAGAACAGAAGGGGGUGAAGGUUGUUGAGCAGUUAGGUUCGUCCUUACAAACUUGGUGAACCACUCAUUCAUCAUCUGGAAGAAGACUUCCUUAGCCUCUUCUCCGCAGCCCUCAAAUACGGGCCUCGUACCGCUCGAAGCUAUUCUGUGAAUGGAUGCCUGAGCGUUGCUCUCUACUUCAUCGAAAUCAACUCGGUUGGAUGUCACAACUAUAAGAAAACAUGUUUUAAAACGGUCAAGAGAUAUCAUAUUAUCACAAGUUAUAUAAUUACAUGUAUAGCUAGACUCGUACUCGCUACAUUCAGUUUGAGAACAAGCUAAAUCGUAGAUCUGAUACUAAUAAAUGCAACACCCUAACCAGUAUCCAUCUCCAGAAUAGAGUUACGGAGUGUUACCAAAAUUUACAGUACAAAUAAAUAGAAUGUCAAUCAUUUCGUAACUUAUCAAUAUUCAUAACAAAACCAAUCAAAAUCAUACAUACUGUCCCUUAUACGAGCCCUCGAUGCCCUAAAUGCAGGUUAGAAACAAGUCGAGAUGAAAUCAGAAACUCGUAGAAUUUUUCAGAAAACAUUACAAAUAUUUAAAGCUACAGGGGUCACACAACCAUGUGACUCACAUGGUUAAGAGACACGCUUGUGUCUCAGGCCGUGUACCCUUCGAAGUAACCUCACACGCCCAUGUGCCAGGCUGUGUAACAGCCUGACUUGCAACCCUUUGAAACCUAUAGCGGACACACGAACGUGUCACCUGGCCGUGUGUCACACACAGCUGAGACACACGCCCGUGUCUCUGCUCAUAUGGAUGAAAAUAGGCCAUUUUACAAGCCACUUUUCUCACCCAAUUUUGCAUCCACCUACAUUCAACAUUUUGCAUAUAAACAAACCAUAUUAAGGCAUCCAAAACAAGCAAAAUCAAGCCUUAAACAUGUAGUAUAUUCAUAUACAACCAAUAUGCCCUUAGGCACCUCAAAUGACAAUAUGCAAAUAUAUAUAAUCAUUACACCAUUAAACCAAAUAAGCCAAUAAUUUACCAAGCCAUUUUGCAUUAUUUCAUGCCACUUAGCCUACCUAUCAAAACAUACGAACCACAUUAGUCAUGUAACUUCAUAAAUGAAUCAAUAAUUAUGGAUGAGCUCAACAAUUAAUCAAGUUUCCAUAUACAAGUAACAUUCAUAUCAUGUAUCUAUAUAUCAUGUGAAGCCAUUUCCAUGUAUUUCAUGUAAAUACCUAUAAUAGUUCGUAUCAAACUCAUAUUAUCUCGUAACAGAACAUUUCCCGUUGAACCAUUUAGAAUAUCGUUGGAUACUCGGGUAGUACACACGAGGUGUACUAAACUGUAAUCCGUCAAUUCCUGUACAUGUAUGCUCAUACGAGCUCUGAAUCGGUGUGCUCUUACGAGCUAUAAUCAGUAAGCUCAUAUGGGUUGAGUAACGGUAAGCUCUCACGAGCUAAAAUCGGUAACCCUAAUGACAUGUCAUUUGUAUCCUACGAAUUCCUAAGGUUCAAACGAGACUCAGUAAUCGUCGUACGUCGUCAGAUAUGCGAUCGGUGUUCAUACAUGGCAGUUAUACAAUUCACAUACAUAUAAUUCAAUUAAAGCAUAUAAAAAUACAAUUUAAUUACACGAACUUACCUUGACGAGUAUACGUAGAUACGGAGGUGACUAUUCUGAAACUUUCUCUUUGCCCGAUCUAAAUCUGUAGGAGGUCUAACUGGAUAUAUAUGGAUAAAUUUAACUCAUUUCAACAUAUAAUUCAUUCAAUUUAAUCCAAAACAUAUAUUUGGAAAAAUUACCAUUUCCCCCUUUACUUUUAAUUUCUUUGCAAUUUAGUCCCUAGGCUCGAAAAAAUGAAUUUAAUGAAAUUUUUCCCUUACCCAAGCCUAGCCAGUUUCUAUACAUACUAAUAGUAGCCCAUAUAUUUCACAAAUUCACAAUUUUACCACAUAAUAUUUUCCAUUUUUUAAUUUAACCCCUAAUUGAUAAUUUCAUCAAAAAUUCCUUUACAAAAGUUGUUUAUCUAGCAACAACCAUUCAUUUUCUAUCAUAAAAUUUGAAAACUCAAGCAUAUUAAUCAAUGGAAAAACCCUAAUAGUUUAACAAUUUCACAAAUUAGUCCCCAGGCUAGCUAGAUUAAGCUAGAACCAUCUUGAAAACAUAUAAAUCAUUAAAAACGGGGCAAAAAUCAUACCUAAUUGGAGAAUAGAAGCUUGGCCGAAAGUUAAGCACAACAAUGGCUUCUUUCUUUCUUUGAUAUUCGGUUGAAACAAAAAAUUAAAGAUGAAGACUUUAAUUUGUUUUUUAUUUAUUUUAUCUUUAAUAACGAAUUUGCUUAUUAACCUUUAAAAUUAUUCCAAAUUACAAGAUUACCAAGCCAUGACUUUCCACUAACACAUUUAUGGACUAAUUACUAUAUAAAGACCUCCACUUUAAAUUUCUAUAGCUAUUUAAUACCUUUAGCUAUUAGAACUCCACUUUUGCACUUUAUGCGAUUUAGUCCUUUUUAUCAAAUUAAACAUGUAAACGGUAAAAUUUCUUAACGAUAUUUUUCUACGAUAAUACUACCAUGCUGUAGGCAAUAAAAUAAUAAUAAAACAAAUUUUUGACUUCAAAUUUUUUGUCCCAAAACCACUGUUCCAAUUUCACUAAAAAUGGGCUGUUACAUCGAGUCUAACCAAGGGAAAGCGUUUCUUUUAAGGAGAAGGGGAAGAAUCGAAGAAGAAAAUAAUUAUAAAUGACCUCGUUCAAUAUAAAAGUAUCUUAAAGUUGGAUAAACUAUUUUAAAUGUUGGUUUGGGUCCUCUGUCAUAGUUCCUCUGAACUGUAGGUUAUUUUGAAUCAUCUGGAUCAUGCGAAGCUUGAUCUGAAAAUUAUUUGCGGUUAUAGCCAGCCUUGCAAAGAUAGCUUGUAUUGUGUCGAGGGUUGGUAGCAUGUAAUCUCUCAGUAUACGUUCCUCUUGAGCCAUUUUUCGUUCUGUCGAUAGUUGUGGUGGUGGUAGAUCUAGUAAAUUAGGAUUGUCGAAAAGUGGAUUUUGUGUGGUGGAUUAACAGUUGCAGGUGGGUUAUUUUGCAUCUGCUGUUUUUGCUAUUGACAAUUUCUAAGAAUUAGUCUCCUUGGAUCAGCGGCUGGCUCCAUGGGUGUGCCCCUACUUUGAGUAUUGUACUGAAACCACAAAGAAAAAAAA